rnacentral:rRNA from 1 species
UACGGAGGGGACUAGCGUUGUUCGGAAUUACUGGGCGUAAAGCGCACGUAGGCGGCUUUCUAAGUCAGGGGUGAAAUCCUGGAGCUCAACUCCAGAACUGCCUUUGAUACUGGAGAGCUUGAGUCCGGGAGAGGUGAGUGGAACUCCGAGUGUAGAGGUGAAAUUCGUAGAUAUUCGGAAGAACACCAGUGGCGAAGGCGGCUCACUGGCCCGGUACUGACGCUGAGGUGCGAAAGCGUGGGGAGCAAACAGG